ACGAACCACCCAAACGUUAUUCGGAAUUACUGGGCGUAAAGGGCUCGUAGGCGGCCAACUAAGUCAGACGUGAAAUCCCUCGGCUUAACCGGGGAACUGCGUCUGAUACUGGAUGGCUUGAAUCCGGGAGAGGGAUGCGGAAUUCCAGGUGUAGCGGUGAAAUGCGUAGAUAUCUGGAGGAACACCGGUGGCGAAGGCGGCAUCCUGGACCGGCAUUGACGCUGAGGAGCGAAAGCCAGGGGAGCAAACGGGA
rnacentral:rRNA from 1 species